GAUGAACGCUGGCGGCGUGCCUAAUACAUGCAAGUAGAACGCUGAAGGAGGAGCUUGCUCUUCUGGAUGAGUUGCGAACGGGUGAGUAACGCGUAGGUAACCUGCCUGGUAGCGGGGGAUAACUAUUGGAAACGAUAGCUAAUACCGCAUGACAACAGUUAUUGCAUGAUAACUGUUUAAAAGGGGCAACUGCUCCACUACCAGAUGGACCUGCGUUGUAUUAGCUAGUUGGUGAGGUAACGGCACACCAAGGCGACGAUACAUAGCCGACCUGGGAGGGGGAUCGGCCACACUGGGACUGAGACACGGCCCAGACUCCUACGGGAGGCAGCAGUAGGGAAUCUUCGGCAAUGGACGGAAGUCUGACCGAGCAACGCCGCGUGAGUGAAGAAGGUUUUCGGAUCGUAAAGCUCUGUUGUAAGAGAAGAACGAGUGUGAGAGUGGAAAGUUCACACUGUGACGGUAUCUUACCAGAAAGAGACGGCUAACUACGUG
rnacentral:rRNA from 1 species